rnacentral:rRNA from 1 species
GACGAACGCUGGCGGCGUGCCUAAUACAUGCAAGUCGAGCGAAGUUUUUCUGGUGCUUGCCCUAGAAAAACUUAGCGGCGAACGGGUGAGUAACACGUAAAGAACCUGCCUCAUAGACUGGGACAACUAUUGGAAACGAUAGCUAAUACCGGAUAACAGUAUUUCUCGCAUGAGAGAUAUUUAAAAGUUGGUUAUGCUAACACUAUGAGAUGGCUUUGCGGUGCAUUAGCUAGUUGGUGGGGUAAAGGCCCACCAAGGCGACGAUGCAUAGCCGACCUGAGAGGGUGAUCGGCCACACUGGGACUGAGACACGGCCCAGACUCCUACGGGAGGCAGCAGUAGGGAAUCUUCCGCAAUGGGCGAAAGCCUGACGGAGCAACGCCGCGUGAGUGAAGAAGGAUUUCGGUUCGUAAAGCUCUGUUGUUAGGGAAGAAUGGAUAUGUAGUAACUAGACAUGUAAGUGACGGUACCUAACCAGAAAGCCACGGCUAACUACGUG